rnacentral:rRNA from 1 species
CCCUUAGAUGCUCUGGGCCGCACGCGCGCUACACUGGUCGAUGCAACGAGUUUCUUUCCCUGGCCGACAGGCCUGGGCAAUCUUUGAACAUCGAUCGUGAUCGGGAUAGAUUCUUGUAAUUUUUGAUCUUAAACGAGGAAUUCCUAGUAAACGCAAGUCAUCAGCUUGCAUUGAUUACGUCCCUGCCCUUUGUACACACCGCCCGUCGCACCUACCGAUUGAAUGGUCCGGUGAAAUCUCCGGACUGGCGUGAGUCGGAGCAAUCUGACAAACACCGGAAAGUUGAUUAAACCUUACCAUUUAGAGGAAGGUGAAGUCGUAACA